AGUGAACGCUGGCGGUAGGCCUAACACGUGCAAGUCGAACGGCAGCACAGUAAGAGCUUGCUCUUACGGGUGGCGAGUGGCGGACGGGUGAGGAAUACAUCUGAAUCUACUUUUUCGUGGGGGAUAACGUAGGGAAACUUACGCUAAUACCGCAUACGACCUACGGGUGAAAGCAGGGGAUCUUCGGACCUUGCGCGAUUGAAUGAGCCGAUGUCGGAUUAGCUAGUUGGCGGGGUAAAGGCCCACCAAGGCGACGAUCCGUAGCUGGUCUGAGAGGAUGAUCAGCCACACUGGAACUGAGACACGGUCCAGACUCCUACGGGAGGCAGCAGUGGGGAAUAUUGGACAAUGGGCGCAAGCCUGAUCCAGCCAUACCGCGUGGGUGAAGAAGGCCUUCGGGUUGUAAAGCCCUUUUGUUGGGAAAGAAAAGCAGCAGGUUAAUACCCCGCUGUUCUGACGGUACCCAAAGAAUAAGCACCGGCUAACUUCGU
rnacentral:rRNA from 1 species